CGGCAGCCUCCGCAACACUGGAACCGGCUCCUUGCCGAACACCACAUGGAAGAUUAAAAAAAAAAAAAAAAACAGUAAAAAGAUUUUGGCUGCAUAAAAUGAGAUGUGGAAAAGCGCCAAAGAUCCUCAUUGUUGGUGGGUUUACAGAGAAAAUCUCGGUAUUAGGAAGGCGGAUUUAGAAGUGGGGUGGAAAAAAAAAAAAAGAGGAAAAAGUGUUCACUCAUCAUCUCGGAGUUCUCCCAUAUUAACCAAUGAAUGUGGAUUACGAUACGAUACAGAUGGACGAUGAAGCCAUCUCGUCGCAUGUUUACGAUCCACUUGGGUUUUUUUUUCCAUAUAUUAUCAGCAUGGCACAGAGUUGAUUUCAUAGCAGGCUGUCAAUAGCGGCAGAAUUAAUGGAUUUCCACAAUGUGUCCUAAGCUCCUCACAUGCGGCCCUUUUGAGAACAGAUCACAAUAAACGCCAUCUCAUCCCUUUCACGCCGGCUUUAAUAGCUUGCCAGAUGCUAUCUGCGCUCAUUGUGCGCCUCAAACGGCUCACAUUUCAUUACAGAGGAUUAAGACCCAUAAAAAAA